AUUGAACGCUGGCGGCAGGCCUAACACAUGCAAGUCGAGCGAGCGGCGGACGGGUGAGUAAUGUAUGGGGACUGCCCGAUAGAGGGGGAUAACUACUGGCAACGGUAGCUAAUACCGCAUACUAUCGGAUAACCCAUAUGGGAUUAGCUAGUAGGUGAGGUAAUGGUUCACUUAGGCGACGAUCCCUAGCUGGUCUGAGAGGAUGAUCAGCCAGACUGAGACUGAGACACGGCCCAGACUCGUACGGAGGCAGCAGUGGGGAAUCUUGCACAAUGGGCGCAAGCCUGAUGCAGCCAUGCCGCGUGAAUGAAGAAGGCCUUAGGGUUGUAAAGUACUGUCAGUCGGGAGGCGUUACCGACAGAAGAAGCACCGGCUAACUCCGUGCCAGCAGCCGCGGUAAUAC
rnacentral:rRNA from 1 species